rnacentral:rRNA from 1 species
GACGAACGCUGGCGGCAUGCCUAAUACAUGCAAGUCGAGCGAACAGAUGAAGUGCUUGCACUUCUGACGUUAGCGGCGAACGGGUGAGUAACACGUAAGGAAUCUACCUAUAAGCGGGGGAUAACAUUCGGAAACGGGUGCUAAUACCGCAUAAUAUCUUCUUCCGCAUGGAAGAAGAUUGAAAGACGGCUCUGCUGUCACUUAUAGAUGACCUUGCGGUGCAUUAGUUAGUUGGUGGGGUAAUGGCCUAACAAGACUAUGAUGCAUAGCCGACCUGGGGGGGUGAUCGGCCCAAUUGGGACUGAGACACGGCCCAAACUCCUACGGAGGGAAGCAGUAGGGAAUCUUCCGCAAUGGGCGAAAGCCUGACGGAGCAAUGCCGCGUGAGUGAAGAAGGCCUUCGGGUCGUAAAACUCUGUUAUAAGAGAAGAACAAAUUGUAGAGUAACUGCUACAGUCUUGACGGUAUCUUAUCAGAAAGCCACGGCUAACUACGUGCCAGCAGCCGCCGUAA